AUUGAACGCUGGCGGAAUGCUUUACACAUGCAAGUCGAACGGAUCCUUCGGGAUUAGUGGCGGACGGGUGAGUAACGCGUGGGAACAUACCCUUUGGUACGGAAUAGCCUCGGGAAACUGGGAGUAAUACCGUAUGUGGUCGAGAGACGAAAGAUUUAUCGCCAAAGGAUUGGCCCGCGUUGGAUUAGGUAGUUGGUGGGGUAAUGGCCUACCAAGCCGACGAUCCAUAGCUGGUUGGAGAGGAUGAUCAGCCACACUGGGACUGAGACACGGCCCAGACUCCUACGGGAGGCAGCAGUGGGGAAUCUUAGACAAUGGGGGAAACCCUGAUCUAGCCAUGCCGCGUGAUCGAUGAAGGCCUUAGGGUUGUAAAGAUCUUUCAGGUGGGAAGAUAAUGACUGUACCACCAGAAGAAGCCCCGGCUAACUCCGUGCCAGCCGCCGCCGUAA
rnacentral:rRNA from 1 species